AGAGUUUGAUCAUGGCUCAGAUUGAACGCUGGCGGCAUGCUUAAUACAUGCAAGUCGAACGGUAACAGAUUCUUCGGAAUGCUGACGAGUGGCGGACGGGUGAGUAAUACAUAGGAAUCUGCCCAUGUAGUGGGGGACAACUUGGGGAAACUCAAGCUAAUACCGCAUAAUUCCUACGGGAUAAAGAGGCCACUGCUUGCAAGCUCUUGCUACUGGAUGAGCCUAUGUCGGAUUAGUUAGUUGGUAAGGUAAUGGCUUACCAAGACAGCGAUCCGUAGCUGGUUUGAGAGGAUGAUCAGCCACACUGGGACUGAGACACGGCCCAGACUCCUACGGGAGGCAGCAGUAGGGAGUAUUGGACAAUGGGCGCAAGCCUGAUCCGGCAAUGCCGCGUGUGUGAAGAAGGCCUGCGGGUUGUAAAGCACUUUCAAUUGGGAAGACAGAUUAUGAGUUAAUACCUUAUAAUAUUGACGUACCAA
rnacentral:rRNA from 1 species